UACGGAGGGGGCUAGCGUUGUUCGGAAUUACUGGGCGUAAAGCGCGCGUAGGCGGCUUUGUAAGUUAGAGGUGAAAGCCCGGAGCUUAACUCCGGAACUGCCUUUAAGACUGCAUCGCUAGAAUCGUGGAGAGGUGAGUGGAAUUCCGAGUGUAGAGGUGAAAUUCGUAGAUAUUCGGAAGAACACCAGUGGCGAAGGCGACUCACUGGACACGUAUUGACGCUGAGGUGCGAAAAGCGUGGGGAGCAAACAGG
rnacentral:rRNA from 1 species